AUAGGCAUAGUUUAAUAGGCAGAAUAUCGGUCUCCAAAACCGAAGAUGCAGGUUCGAGUCCUGCUGCCUAUGCCA
rnacentral:tRNA from 1 species